UACUGCUGAGUGAGCCACAGGCUC
rnacentral:piRNA from 1 species